rnacentral:rRNA from 1 species
CUUCUUGUUYYAUAGGAGGUCUUACCUGCUCACUGAAUUUUGAAGAGCCGCGGUAUUUUGACCGUGCAAAGGUAGCAUAAUCAUUAGUUUUUUAAUUGGGAACUGGAAUGAAUGGUUUGACGAAAUAAUAACUGUCUUGAAAUUAAUUAUUGAAUUUUACUUUUAAGUUAAAAGGCUUAAGUUAUAGUAAGGGACGAGAAGACCCUAUAGAUUUUAAUAAUUUUGGUUUUAAUAUAAUUGUUGAUGAAUUUUAUUAUUAUAAUUAAUAUUAUUUUGUUGGGGUGAUGAGAGAAUAAUUUAACUUCUUUUUUAAAAACUUUGUUGAAUGGAUUUUUGAUCCUUUAUUAUGGAAUUAAGAUUAAAAUACCUUAGGGAUAACAGCGUUAUUUUAUUUGAGAGUUCUUAUCGACAAUAAAGAUUGCGACCUCGAUGUUGGAUUAAAAUUUAUUUUUAAUGAAGAAGUUAAUUUAAUUUUGGUCUGUUC